AUUGAACGCUGGCGGCAUGCCUUACACAUGCAAGUCGAACGGCAGCACGGGAGCAAUCCUGGUGGCGAGUGGCGAACGGGUGAGUAAUAUAUCGGAACGUGCCCAGUCGUGGGGGAUAACGUAGCGAAAGCUACGCUAAUACCGCAUACGAUCUAUGGAUGAAAGCGGGGGAUCGCAAGACCUCGCGCGAUUGGAGCGGCCGAUAUCAGAUUAGGUAGUUGGUGAGGUAAAGGCUCACCAAGCCGACGAUCUGUAGCUGGUCUGAGAGGACGACCAGCCACACUGGGACUGAGACACGGCCCAGACUCCGACGGGAGGCAGCAGUGGGGAAUUUUGGACAAUGGGCGCAAGCCUGAUCCAGCAAUGCCGCGUGCAGGAUGAAGGCCUUCGGGUUGUAAACUGCUUUUGUACGGAGCGAAACGGCUUCCACUAAUACUGGGGGCUAAUGACGGUACCGUAAGAAUAAGCACCGGCUAACUACGUGCCAGCCGCCGCCGUAACAC
rnacentral:rRNA from 1 species